ACGCUGGCGGCGUGCCUAACACAUGCAAGUCGUGCGAGAAGUUCCUUCGGGAGCGAGUAAAGCGGCGCACGGGUGAGUAACACGUAGGUAACCUGCCCCCCAGUCUGGAACAACUAGAGGAAACUCUAGCUAAUGCCGGAUGAGACCACGAUCCCUUCGGGGGUUGCGGCCAAAGAUGGCCUCUACUUGUAAGCUAUCGCUGAGGGAUGGGCCUGCGGGCCAUUAGCUUGUUGGUGAGGUAACGGCUCACCAAGGCUGUGAUGGCUAGCUGGUCUGAGAGGAUGACCAGCCACACUGGGACUGAGACACGGCCCAGACUCCUACGGGAGGCAGCAGUGGGAAUAUUGCGCAAUGGGCGAAAGCCUGACGCAGCGACGCCGCGUGGGUGAUGAAGGCCUUCGGGUCGUAAAGCCCUGUCGCAGGGGAAGAAUAAGCAUCGGUAUAAUACGCCGGUGCCCUGACGGUACCCUGCAAGAAAGCACCGGCUAACUCCGUG
rnacentral:rRNA from 1 species